CAAUAGCGUAUAUUAAAGUUGUUGCAGUUAAAAAGCUCGUAGUUGGAUUUCUUGUGCAUGAAGCGGGUCGGCUCAAAGAGUCUGUACUAGCUUUCAUGCACAAUCCUCGUAACAAGAUGUCGGUGAGUUAACUCCAUUCGGCAGUGAGUUGCGUCAUUUACUGUGAACAAAUUAGAGUGUUUAAAGCAGGCAAAUGCUGUGAAUACAUUAGCAUGGAAUAAUAAGAUAGGACCUAGAGUCUAUUUUGUUGGUUGCGAUUUUAGGUAAUGAUUAAUAGGGAUAGUUGGGGGUAUUCAUAUUCAAUUGUCAGAGGUGAAAUUCUUGGAUUUAUGGAAGAUGAACAACUGCGAAAGCAUUUACCAAGGAUGUUUUCAUUAA
rnacentral:rRNA from 1 species